rnacentral:rRNA from 1 species
AACGAACGCUGGCGGCAGGCCUAAUACAUGCAAGUCGAACGCACCGCAAGGUGAGUGGCAGACGGGUGAGUAACGCGUGGGAACCUUCCUAGUAGUACGGAAUAACUCCGGGAAACCGGUGCUAAUACCGUAUAAGCCCUCCGGGGAAGAUUAUCGCUACUAGAUGGGCCCGCGUCGGAUUAGCUUGUUGGUGAGGUAAUGGCUCACCAAGGCUUCGAUCCGUAGCUGGUCUGAGAGGAUGAUCAGCCACACUGGGACUGAGACACGGCCCAGACUCCUACGGGAGGCAGCAGUAGGGAAUAUUGGACAAUGGGCGAAAGCCUGAUCCAGCCAUGCCGCGUGAGUGAAGAAGGCCUUAGGGUUGUAAAGCUCUUUUGGCGGGAAGAUAAUGACGGUACCCGCAGAAUAAGCUCCGGCUAACUUCGUGCCAGCAGCCGCCGCCGUAAC